AUUGAACGCUGGCGGCAGGCCUAACACAUGCAAGUCGAGCGAGCGGCGGACGGGUGUGUAAUGUAUGGGGACUGCCCGAUAGAGGGGGAUAACUACUGGAAACGGUGGCUAAUACCCCAUACUGUCGGAUAACCCAUAUGGGAUUAGCUAUUAGGUAAGGUAAUGGCUUCCCUAGGCGACGAUCCCUAGCUGGUCUGAGAGGAGGAUCAGCCACACUGGGACUGAGACACGGCCCCGACUCCUACGGAGGCAGCAGUGGGGAAUAUUGCACAAUGGGCGCAAGCCUGAUGCAGCCAUGCGGCGUGUAUGAAGAAGGCCCUAGGGUUGUAAAGUACUUUCAGUCGGGAGGCGGUAACGAAAGAAGAAGCACCGGCUAACUCCGUGCCAGCAGCCGCGGUAAUUG
rnacentral:rRNA from 1 species